rnacentral:rRNA from 1 species
ACUCAAAGGAAUUGACGGGGGCCCGCACAAGCGGUGGAGCAUGUGGUUCAAUUCGAUGCAACGCGAAGAACCUUACCUGGGUUUGAACAGCAACUGAAUACUUCGGAGACGGAGUAGGCUAGCAAUAGACAGUUGCAGAGGUGCUGCAUGGCUGUCGUCAGCUCGUGUCGUGAGAUGUUGGGUUAAGUCCCGCAACGAGCGCAACCCUUGCCUCUAGUUGCUCGCUGUAACAGGCAGCACUCUAGAUGGGACUGCCGGUGAUAAACCGGAGGAAGGUGGGGAUGACGUCAAGUCAUCAUGGCCUUUAUGUCCAGGGCUACACACGUGCUACAAUGGACGGUACAAAGGGUCGCCAAACCGCAAGGUGGAGCCAAUCCCGCAAAAACCGUCCUCAGUUCGGAUUGCAGUCUGCAACUCGACUGCAUGAAGGUGGAAUCGCUAGUAAUCGCGGAUCAGCAUGCCGCGGUGAAUACGUUUCCGGGCCUUGUACACACCGCCCGU